ACAAUUCCGUAUAGUAAUGCUAUCUAUUAAUAUAAUUAGAAUUGCCAUAAAAUCGAUACAUGCAUAUAAACUAUGCCAAACAAUUGAUAUAAUUUAAACGUGAUUCGAUAGGAUCAUGUAUUAUAUUCAAUUAACAAUUAAUUUUAAACGAAAUUUCUAAUAAUUUAAAUAUAUAAAGAAAAUUUCUCUAAACACGAUAUACAUACGUGGAGUUUUGCAUACUUUUAGAAAGAAAGAGAGAUGCUAUGUGAUCAGUUGCCAGGACGACGGUUUAUAACAACAAAACAUUUCUCUAAUUUAACUAGUUAUUUCUAAGUUAAAUAGUUUAGAAUCUUUGAAGAGGAGAAAAAAGUAGAAGAUAAUGAAAGAGAACAUUAAAUUCAUUGUGACAGAGGUGAACAAAUUAUUGGGACGUAAUUAUAAUGUGAUUUAUUUCAAUUCUCUAAGUUCAGAAGAAUUGCUUCAAGUAUUAAAGGAAUUGUUGAUUAAAAUACAGAAUCAAAAUAUUGAUGGUAAUGUUAGUAUAAAGAAUGAGACUUCUGAAGAAAUUUCCAUUUAUAUUUUAUCUGUUCUGCGUAUAUUUCAUUAUCAGCCACGAAUAGAUCCUGUGAGCUUUAGACAAGGUCUGAUUCGUGGAGAUUCUGAUAUUAUUCAUCCUAUUUUUACCUGGCUUCUAUCUCAUAUAGAUGUGGUUCAAAAAAGAGCUUAUUUAUCACGCUUUUUAGUGAAGAUAGAAGUUCCUAGCGAGUAUUUAAGCGAUCCAGAAGUUUUCGCUUUUUAUGAACAAUACAUGACUUUGAUUGAUAGAUUUAAAACAGUGCAUAAGGAAAGAGAAAUAGGAAAGAAGAAUUAUGAGAAUGCUAGUGAGCUUACUGCUGAUUUAAAAACAAUGGAAAAAGAAAAAGAAGCAGUAAUUAUACGUAUCGAAAAGAUGAGAAUGAAAGCUGAAACUGGAAUACAUUUAUUGAAUGUUGCCCGAGCUUUGCGAAUAGAAAAAGAUAAAGAACGUGAUUUAGUAUUGCAAGAGGAACAAGAAAAAGAAAUAAUAUCUAGAUUACAAUCUAACUUACAAAGAUUGGAAAGAGAAUUACAAAUCUUAAAAAAAGAUGAAGAUGAAAUUACAGUUCAAAUAUUAUUGCAACAUUUAUCUGAAGUAAUUACUGUUCAAACUGUAGUUACGAAUGAAAAAUUACCGGCAGAAAUACAUGCAAAAACAAAUCGUAUAAAAGCCUUGAACACAGUAAAACAGUAUUCGUAUUUAAAUCCAGAUCAAAUAACGGGUCUACGAAACAACUUGGAUAGUAUAGCCAAAGAAAUUCAGAAUUUAAUAGAAUUAAAGAUUACAAAAAAUAACAUUGAUAAAAUAGAACCAUUUAGACAACAAGCAGCUGCAGUUGCAAAUAUAAAAAGAAAUGUUCUUGAAAAAUUGGAGAAGACAGUGAAUUCUUUGCAAGAAUUGCGGACAAAAUUAGAAGAAAAACGCGAACUAUCAAAAUUGAUAGUAGAAGACAUCAUUCCUAAAGGAGAAGAUUUAAAAAAAUACAUAAAUCGUUUAAAAACUAGGGGAACACUUUAUAAACAUUGUAAAUCUGAACUGACAUGGUUCAAUGCGGAGAACAGUAUAUUAUAUCGAACAGCCGCCAUCUUAGAAAAUCAGUAUAAUCAAUAUAACCAAGUGAAAGAAAGAUUGGAAACGGUUAAGAAAAAUACUCCAAAUAAUUUCACAGAAGAGAAUGCAUCUUCGAUGAAUCUUCAAUUAUGUCGAGAUAUAUCCGCCUUUAAAGCAAAAUUAAUCCCACUGAUAAAUGAAGUGCAAACAUUAAGAGAAAAAUAUUAUGAAUUUGAACAACAACAAGAGAAAACGAUAAAAGCACAAGAUCAAGUAAAAUCGAGUAUGAAUAUCUUAAUAAAUAAUUUACAAUCUGAGUUGGAAAGUAGAAAAACAAAACUAACGAAGGAUAUUGAAGAGAAAGAAGAAUUACUAAAACUCAUAGCUAAAAUGAAGAUUAUAGAAGAAAGAAUAAAACAGGAUAUCAAAGAUCCUACAAUUUCUAAUCCUGGUAAAAAGAUAAGAGAAGAAUUAAAUUUCAUUAUUCAAGCAGAAGAAGCAAAGAUAAAAAGUUUAAUAAUGGAAAAAGAACAUAUAAAAGAAAUUAACUCAGUAAAUGAAAAACAAACACAGAUGUGGAGUAGUAUAUUGUCGUGUGAAACAACUGGGCCAAACCAAUAAUGCAUCUCCUAUACAACUGAAUAUUAAUCCUGUCAAUAUUCGUCUCGAAAAGAUAAAUAGUAUCCAGCUUUUAGUUUAAGAUUAUAAACAAAAAAAACUUAGAAGCAAUGAAAAAAUAUUCUUGCUUACACUUACAUUUUCAGGUGACUUUUUAAUUAUAUUUUUUUUUCAUUUUUUAAAAUGAAUUUUUUUAAAAUAUUAUAGAAACAUCGUUGAAUAGGAAUAUUUAAUAUUUCACUGAUUAUGAAAACGCAGUAAUGAUGUUUCGUACUUUAUGUAAAAAUAAAAAUAGUCAUAGUGUUAUGAAUAUAUCAUUAGUGAUAUUAUUCAUAAAAUCAACGGAAACAAUAUUGCUCUGCUUCAUAAUAAAUCAAUCCUCUUCUGUGUUCCAAUAAAAGUCGUUCUUAUAAGAUCGAAUUUCAUGUGAUCUGUGAAAUACGGAAAUUGUUAAGAAAAAAAUUGGCGGAAUAUUUAAAAUGUGCAUUAUCAAUUAGAAAUAAAAGCGACUUGAAAAUAAGCGUAAGCAAGAUCAUAAUAAAUGAUUGGCUAGCACCUGUAAGUCACGAAAAUGUUACAUACUUGAUUAACUUGUUUUUUCCGCUUUGCUAAAUUAGCACUAUCAUUUUAUAGAUAUAAAUGUUUUGUGGAUAUAUCGCUAUAUUAAUGUUGAAAAUAAAGAUAUAUGGAAGUCAA